UACGAAGGGGGCUAGCGUUGCUCGGAAUCACUGGGCGUAAAGCGCACGUAGGCGGCUUUUUAAGUCAGGGGUGAAAUCCUGGAGCUCAACUCCAGAACUGCCUUUGAUACUGAGAAGCUUGAGUCCGGGAGAGGUGAGUGGAACUGCGAGUGUAGAGGUGAAAUUCGUAGAUAUUCGCAAGAACACCAGUGGCGAAGGCGGCUCACUGGCCCGGUACUGACGCUGAAAUACGAAAGCGUGGGGAGCAAACAGG
rnacentral:rRNA from 1 species